rnacentral:autocatalytically_spliced_intron from 1 species
AACCGCCGUAUGCGGAACCGCACGUACGGUGGUGUGGGAGGGCUGAGGGGGUGACCCCUCACCCUAC